rnacentral:rRNA from 1 species
UCUUAGCUUGCUAAGGCUGAUGGCGACCGGCGCACGGGUGAGUAACACGUAUCCCCCCUUCCGUCUACUCUUGGCCAGCCUUCUGAAAGGGAGAUUAACUCCAGGAUGGGAUCAUGAGUUCACAUGUCCGCAUGAUUAAAGGUAUUUUCCGGUAGACGAUGGGGAUGCGUUCCAUUAGAUAGUAGGCGGGGUAACGGCCCACCUAGUCAACGAUGGAUAGGGGUUCUGAGAGGAAGGUCCCCCACAUUGGAACUGAGACACGGUCCAAACUCCUACGGGAGGCAGCAGUGAGGAAUAUUGGUCAAUGGGCGAUGGCCUGAACCAGCCAAGUAGCGUGAAGGAUGACUGCCCUAUGGGUUGUAAACUUCUUUUAUAAAGGAAUAAAGUCGGGUAUGCAUACCCGUUUGCAUGUACUUUAUGAAUAAGGAUCGGCUAACUCCGUGCCAGCAGCCGCGGUAAUACGGAGGAUCCGAGCGUUAUCCGGAUUUAUUGGGUUUAAAGGGAGCGUAGAUGGAUGUUUAAGUCAGUUGUGAAAGUUUGCGGCUCAACCGUAAAAUUGCAGUUGAUACUGGAUGUCUUGAGUGCAGUUGAGGCAGGCGGAAUUCGUGGUGUAGCGGUGAAAUGCUUAGAUAUCACGAAGAACUCCGAUUG